AAUGCGGAGGAAAAGAAACCAACAGGGAUUGCCUCAGUAACGGCGAGUGAAGCGGCAACAGCUCAAAUUUGAAAUCUGGCUCUUUCAGGGUCCGAGUUGUAAUUUGUAGAAGAUGCUUUGGGUGUAGCUCCGGUCUAAGUUCCUUGGAACAGGACGUCAUAGAGGGUGAGAAUCCCGUAUGUGACUGGGUGCUUUCGCUCGUGUAAAGCUCUUUCGACGAGUCGAGUUGUUUGGGAAUGCAGCUCAAAAUGGGUGGUAAAUUUCAUCUAAAGCUAAAUAUUGGCCAGAGACCGAUAGCGCACAAGUAGAGUGAUCGAAAGAUGAAAAGCACUUUGGAAAGAGAGUUAAACAGUACGUGAAAUUGUUGAAAGGGAAGCGCUUGCAACCAGACUUGCGCGCUGUUGAUCAUCCGAGCUUCUGCCCGGUGCACUCGACAGCGUUCAGGCCAGCAUCGGUUUUGGUGGGCGGAUAAAGGCCUUGGGAAUGUAGCUUCUUUCGGGGAGUGUUAUAGCCCUCGGUGCAAUGCGCCCUACCGGGACCGAGGACCGCGCUCGGCUAGGAUGCUGCGUAUGCU
rnacentral:rRNA from 1 species